rnacentral:ncRNA from 1 species
UGGCCCGGGAGAGUCCGCCUGUCCAGGCGGCGCCGAAGGGGAACGCAAAAGCUCUCAGGCAAAAGGGCCGG